rnacentral:lncRNA from 1 species
GCAGGGAAGCUGACUCUUUGGCUGCUGCUUUUUGUGUGCCCAGCCCCAUUUGCCCAGUCUGCCCGCCUCUGUGAUCCCCCGCAGCACUGGCUGGAAGUCCGCCGCGUGUCAGUGAGGAGCUGCUGCAGAAGGAAGAAGAAGAAGCAGCGUGGGGACCUGGGAGGCAGGAGCAAGCAAGAAGAGGAAGCGGAAGCGUGCAGAUGCGGGGGGGAAGGAGAGAGGCUCCCUGGGCAAAGCACCUGUCCCGUUAGCAGGGGCACAGUCACGUUUGAGUUGAGAGCUGCCGGCGCCUUUGGUGACCAGGCUGGCGUUGUGCUGGCGACCUCCCCGUAAGCGGGGCUCGGGUCUUUGCUGUAGUUGGCCUUUUGCCUUGCUGCUCCUUUGGCUGCCUGGGGAGCGUGGCCCCCUGUAACGGAGGGCGAGAGCCACCUCUCCGCACCUGAGUGGGAAAUGGAGCUCGCCGGACCCCAAGGCCACCCUGUAAGCAGGGUAGUGCCGUUUCCCUGCCCCUCUUCCUCCCCCGGCCCCUCGGCAUCGUUGCCUGAUGGUGGCUUGUCAAUGCGACGGCCCCGUACUCGGGGUGUGUGUCCCAAGCUUCGGAGCCCUCUGUCCCUGAGCAGCCCGCCCGCCCUGUAAUCAGGUGUGGGGAGGCUGCAGCGUUGCAGCCGGCUGCUUUAGCCAUCCAGCUGGUGGGAGUGACCCCUCCCUGUCCCGUCAGAGGGUGCAGGUUGAGGUGCUGUUUGUGUGUGGGGUGACCUCCCCGCUCGGUGGGUCGAGGUAGCUCCCUGGGCUUCCAAAGACGAGACGUUGGUGAUGUUCUGGUGCUGCCGGGCGGGCCAGCCUGUAACUCAGGCGUUGGCGGGAGCCUCGUGCUCCGCGGGGCUUCUUGAAGAGGGUGAGGUGUGGGGGUACCGUCCUGUAGGCAGGGCUGUGUGUGCCCCCCGUGUGUGCUUGGUGAGCUGCGUUCUGAGAGACCCCCUGUACUCAGGUGGGAAUGUGGCCCCGGCCUUUCAGAGGCGCGGGGCCGUGAGAUGCGGGGUGGGGCUUGCGCCCUCCCUGGAAUCGGGGCUGGGAUCCCGACUGCGGCCUUUGGCCGUGCCGCCCCGCUGCCUGGCUGCUGAGAGUUGCUCCUGCCGCUGGGGGGGAAACCGAGCUCUGUGGCUCCAGGGGUGUUGUCCACCCGCCUGUAAUCAGGGUCUGGGUGCGUGAGCGUUUGUGCUCUGCUGGCAGCCUGUGUGGGGUGACCGCCCCGCUAGCGGGGUGUGGGUCGAGGUGCCCCGGACUGGGAGAGAAGGAGCCUCCCUCGGCCGUAGGGAUGGGGGCUGCCCUGUAAGUCAGGGAGCAUCUGUGUCCCGGAGUCCCAGGCCCUUUUCGAUGGCGGCAGUGGCCGGGGGUCCCCUGUAAGCAGGGAAGCUGACUCUUUGGCUGCUGCUUUUUGUGUGCCCAGCCCCAUUUGCCCAGUCUGCCCGCCUCUGUGAUCCCCCGCAGCACUGGC